GGAWCCAAUUUUCUGCCACCGAAUACAUUAGCAUGGGAUAAUGGAAUAGGACCCUGUCCUCAAUUUUCAGUUGGUUUUGGCAGCGCGAGGACUAGGGUAAUGAUUAAWAGGGAUAGUUGGGGGCAUUAAUAUUUAAUUGUCAGAGGUGAAAUUCUUGGAUUUAUGAAAGAUUAACUUCUGCGAAAGCWUCUGCCAAGGAUGUUUUCAUUAAUCAAGAACGAAAGUUAGGGGAUCGAAGACGAUCAGAUACCGUCGUAGUCUUAACCAUAAACGAUGCCGACCAGCGAUUAGGAGACGUUGAAUACAAAACACCACCAUCGGUGCGGUCAUCCUUGGCGYKGUKCUUGCMAAAAGCCAGCGCGGGGGGGGGGUUAUCGCCGGGGCSCCGGGGAAUGACUCCCCUAGAAGCGUGUGUGAG
rnacentral:rRNA from 1 species